CGACGCGACGGUCUCGCGGCUUAACUUAACUUUUUUAGCACUUGACCCGGUCGCGCGCUACUUCGAAUAGUUUGUCACCGUUUAAUCAAGAACUCGCCAACGACGCAUUCCUCGAGGGGUGAAAAAUUUUCAGCGAUGUUAACGCGACCAGAUCGAUCGUUAACGCGAUGUAUUUGAGCGAUUGCACGAGUUUCAUGGUUAGUUAAUUGUUUCAAAUAUUUAAUUGGGGUGAGAAUAAUUUAAAAUAUUUGCGCGUGAACGAAUGCUUAUUCACGUCGAGUUUUGAUAUGCUCGGUAUUGUGUAGAGAUUUGGUUGCACGUGGCAAAAAUGUGUAUUGUGUAUAUCGGAUCAUUAAAAAUGUAAUAAAACCGGCAUUGACAAGAUAGGGUUCUGAAGAAUCGUGCACAAUUAAACGAAAACUUAGUUAAGAGAAUGAAGACGUAUUAAUUAUGUAAGAAUAUCGUCGGUCGCAUCUUAGUGACGUAAAAGGCACAGAAACAUGGAAAUAUACACAGAAGCAUAACUUUAUUUUGGUAAUUGUAGUACUGCUACUUUUUAAGUGUUUCCAGUUCACUAAACUAUCGUUGCAUCGUUUAAAAUAAAUAGAAUUUCAUCGUUUCUGCAAGGAGACGGAAUUAUUUUUAUAAGCAAUUUUCGAAUUGGCGCCGCUAUGGGGUAUUUAUUCUCCUCUUCUGCUGGCUCACGGGGUAAUAUUUACAUGGGAGGAGGGAGAAAAGCGCCAAGGGAAGGCAAUUUCGACGAGCCAAGGGCUUUUGAGGGGACACGCUUUGGGGGCAAGAAAAGGACUAGGUACUUAGCGGACUUCGAUAAUCGAUCACGAGUACCGCAUAUCCCUGCUUGACUGUACCGAGACGAUUCGGUUUUGUUGGUAUCGCAAAACAAUCUACCAAAUGGAAACGAACAGACAUUGAACAAACGAACAAGAAUCCUAUACUUCCGCGAAUUAUAUAGAAAAAUUUGUUUAAUUAGAUAGAAGGCUUUCUGUCUUUUAAAUCCAAUCGUAUUGUCUCACAUUUAAAAAUCGAAAUUUUCCAUUGGAAAAUACGAUAAAAAUAACGAAAAAGAAAUUUGAGAAGCAAUGGAAGUUACUGCAAUUCACGGUCAUUAGUAAUAAUAAUAAUAAAAUGAAAGAAAGAAAUGGAGAAAGAAAGCACGGGUCGUUUAUCGAUCGUUUGACAAUUUCUCGAGACGAAGUAAUCGCGGCGUGUCUCGACGAAGUGGAUUAAGAUCGUACGCCGUAGGACGUCCCCUAAGGGAUGGCGUAAUUAAGCCGGUCCUCGAAGUUUCAUCGCGAAAUCGUUCUUUCACACUUACCACCGUUACGACGCGGAAAGAUUCUUUCGCACGAAUCACGCUGUGUACCAUCCACAGAUACUUAUCGAGUUUUGAUAACUUCUCAACUAAUUACGAGCCCCGGAAUUUCAGGCUAUCAGGAUCGUUGACUGCCUCCCGUUUCGUGUAUAUUUGCCUCUCGUUAUUUUUCUUGCUUGCGGUGCCAGUCGCGCAAAAUCGUUGGCGAACCGUCGCGUGAAAUCUGAUAAAACAGCUACGACGACUUCUUUCAAUUACUUUUCACUAAUUAACCAUUAUCUCUAUCUCUAUUAAUUUAUAUUACUAUUUGUCAAUUUAUCUGUCGUAAAUAGAAAAUUAAGUAGCCGCCAGAUAUGUAGCCUUUAGGGAUGCUCUCCACUCAUACACAUUUUUCACGUACGCAUAACUACCCUACUUUGUAAUCUAGUAAAUUGACGAACGAAAUACAUACAGUGUCGCGUUUGUUUUUAUAUGACGAUUAAAGAGAUCGAUAUUAAUCAGCCAUUUCGUACGUGAACAUAACGAGGAGCCGAAUAAACGACCAUCAGGGGAAACCUGCACGUCAUUAGGCGACAGAUAAGUAUCAGCUUUUCGAAAAGAAACCGCCUCUGGAGUCGCUUGCGUAGCUACUUAAAUCUCGAUGAUUGUAUUACCUUCAAACAAAUUAUGCUAUAUUAUUACUUAAUAAAGCAGACGAUAUUACGUGA